UCCCCUAGUAACUGCGAGUGAAGCGGGAAAAGCUCAAAUUUGAAAUCUGGCAGUCUCUUUUUUCUUCUUUGGCUGUCCGAGUUGUAAUCUAGAGAAGUGCUUACCUGCACUGGACCAUGUAUAAGUCUCCUGGAAUGGAGCGUCACAGAGGGUGAGAAUCCCGUCUUUGACAUGGACCGCCAGUGUGUUGUGGUGUGCUCUCAAAGAGUCGAGUUGUUUGGGAAUGCAGCUCUAAAUGGGUGGUAAACUCCAUCUAAAGCUAAAUAUUGGCGAGAGACCGAUAGUGAACAAGUACCGUGAGGGAAAGAUGAAAAGGACUUUGGAAAGAGAGUUAAACAGUAUGUGAAAUUGUUGAAAGGGAAACGCUUGAAGUCAGUUAUGUUGGCUAGGGAUCAACCUAGCUGUUUUUUGCUGGGUGAAUUUCCUAGUCUGACAGGCCAACAUCAGUCUUGACUGCUGGAAAAGAGCAUAGGGAAUGUGGCACCUUUGGGUGUGUUAUAGCCCUUUGUCAUAUGUGGCAGUUGGGACUGAGGGAUGCAGCGUGCCAUUAGGCUGGGUCUUGACCACGUACACGCUUAGGAUGUUGGCUUUUAAUGGCUUCAAUCGACCCGUCUUGAAACACGGACCAAGGAGUCUAACAUGCCUGCGAGUGUUUGGGUGGGGAAAACCCUUGUGCACAAUGAAAGUGAAAGUUGAGAUCCCUGUCAUGGGGAGCAUCGACGCCCGGACCUGAGCUU
rnacentral:rRNA from 1 species